rnacentral:rRNA from 1 species
CGGAAAAAGGCCAUAUCCUCACUUAUAUCGCUUGUAUCCUGGGAGGUUUGCAAAGAGAGAAAUGCGAGGGUGUUCCAGAAGAAAUCUUCUAUGCCAACAACCGUGUUCGCGGGCAUCAAAGUAGAGGCCCAAAAUUGGGUCUUGGUCGGGGCUAAACACUUGGGAUCAUUGAUGCCGCGAGAGUAG